AGGAGCAGUGAAGGAGGAGGUGAAAGGAGGAGCAGUGAGGGAGGAGCAGCUGUCGGAGCUGCUGGAGCUCCAGCGGCUCGUGCAGAAGAAGAAGGAGCAGAGCGAGUGGAUCCUGCAGCUGAGCAGCAGCUUCCAGCUCGCAGCAGCGCAGUUGGAGGCGCUGCUCCAGUCAGACCCUGGGAGCCCUCUGACUGGUUCUACUGGUUUCUGUGGGUCCAGUGAGGCUGAGCUGAGUCAGCAGAUCCAGACUCUGUUUAAAACGGCUUCGACAGUGAAGACGGAGAUCUGCUCGGCCCUCAGACUCUCCGGCUGGACGCGUUUCAGAGUGGAGCAGCUGGACGCCCGUCUCCUGUCUCUGGACUCCCUUUGUGUCUCAUGGCUGGACGAAGCCGCUCAACGAGGACAGACGCUGACCCGCCUCCUCCAUGAUGACAUC